UACACUCCUACGGGAGGCAGCAGUGGGGAAUUUUGGACAAUGGGCGAAAGCCUGAUCCAGCAAUGCCGCGUGAGUGAAGAAGGCCUUCGGGUUGUAAAGCUCUUUUGUCAGGGAAGAAACGGUGAAAGCUAAUAUCUUUUGCUAAUGACGGUACCUGAAGAAUAAGCACCGGCUAACUACGUGCCAGCAGCCGCGGUAAUACGUAGGGUGCAAGCGUUAAUCGGAAUUACUGGGCGUAAAGCGUGCGCAGGCGGUUUUGUAAGUCUGAUGUGAAAUCCCCGGGCUCAACCUGGGAAUUGCAUUGGAGACUGCAAGGCUAGAAUCUGGCAGAGGGGGGUAGAAUUCCACGUGUAGCAGUGAAAUGCGUAGAUAUGUGGAGGAACACCGAUGGCGAAGGCAGCCCCCUGGGUCAAGAUUGACGCUCAUGCACGAAAGCGUGGGGAGCAAACAGGAUUAGAAACCCUGGUAGUCCCA
rnacentral:rRNA from 1 species